rnacentral:rRNA from 1 species
GAUGAACGCUGGCGGCGUGCCUAAUACAUGCAAGUCGAGCGAACAGAUGAGGAGCUUGCUCCUCUGACGUUAGCGGCGGACGGGUGAGUAACACGUGGAUAACCUACCUAUAAGACUGGGAUAACUUCGGGAAACCGGAGCUAAUACCGGAUAAUAUAUUGAACCGCAUGGUUCAAUAGUGAAAGACGGUUUUGCUGUCACUUAUAGAUGGAUCCGCGCCGCAUUAGCUAGUUGGUAAGGUAACGGCUUACCAAGGCAACGAUGCGUAGCCGACCUGAGAGGGUGAUCGGCCACACUGGAACUGAGACACGGUCCAGACUCCUACGGGAGGCAGCAGUAGGGAAUCUUCCGCAAUAGGCGAAAGCCUGACGGAGCAACGCCGCGUGAGUGAUGAAGGUCUUCGGAUCGUAAAACUCUGUUAUUAGGGAAGAACAAAUGUGUAAGUAACUAUGCACGUCUUGACGGUACCUAAUCAGAAAUCCACGGCUAACUACGU